rnacentral:misc_RNA from 1 species
UUGAGGGAGUUUAUUUUAACGCAUUGAAGUUGAGUGAUUGAAACGAAAUAACAAUCUAAGUUGAGGGAUGGUAGAUGCAAUUUACCCAUUGUAUUUUAGCAAGCUCAAGCCUAAUUCAUUUAUUAAAUGAGUCUAAAAUUCAAGUUCGAGCUUGGCUUAUUAAGCAAAUAACCCAAGCUGUUAUCAAGCAGAGUCUUGAGUGGUUGACGAGUGGCUUAGCUCAUUUACACCCCUAGGUUUGGUGGAUGGUGCAUGCUGGGUCCUCUUUUUUCCAUUAUUAUUUUUUUAAAUCGGAGAAGUGAUUUAUUUUUCUUCAUCAUCUUCUAGUUUUUCUUUUCAAUUAGCAACUACUGUUGAUUUGCCUGAGUUAUUUUGUAAAAGCAUGACUACUUGAUUGUUAAUAAAAAUACAGAAACAUAUCAAAACCACCAAAAUUGUGUAGAGUAAGAUUGUUGGAUCAACAAAACAAGAUAGAAAAAAGAUUAUUUUAAAUAGGAUUAUUAAUCAGCAUUUGUGUGCUUACUGCAUGUGCACACAAAAUCAUUAUGUUUAUUGAUAAAAUGGUAGAUGUUGGAAUUCUGAAUAUCUUUUUUGGUGGCAUUACCUUCCUUUUUAAUAUUAGUACUGUGGUGUGUUCCUUCUAUGAACAGGAAGUGCAUGAUUAUU